GUGCUCCCUUCGGCAGCACAUAUACUAAAAUUGGAACGAUACAGAGAAGAUUAGCAUGGUCCCUGUGCAAGGAUGGCAUGCAAAUUCAUGAAGCAUUUCAUAUUUAU